GGAAAUCAGAAGGAGCCGGCCUCACCUUGUUCUCUGUUGCGUGCUUUUCCUUCUCCACCUUGGCCAGGGUCAGCUCCAGGUCAUCGAUAUCUUUCUUGAGCUCUGAGCACUCGUCUUCCAGCUUGCGCUUCUUGGCCGUGAGCUCGGCGUUCAUCUCCUCCUCGUCCUCCAGCCUCUCGGUCAUCUCCUUCACCUUGGCCUCCAGCUGGAUCUUGUUCUUGAUCAGCUGGUCGCAGCGCUCCUCGGCAUCUGCCAGGUUGUCUUGUUCCUGGGGGCGAGGGACAGGAGUCAAGGAUCAAAGAGAUUAAAGAGAGGGAAGAUGCAGGGUCUGGCAAAGGGCUGGAGCUUCCAGAUUCCCAGACUCUGGGGAUGAGGUGGGCAAAGGAUCCAGGAGACAGGAAAGGAGAGAGACGAGAGAGCCAUGUGGCCUCACCGCCUGCACUUGGAGCUGCAGGUCAUUCUUCUCCUGCAGCAGGGACACCAUCUUCUCCUCCAGCUCCUUGCGGCGAGCCUCAGACUUCUCUAGUGCAUC
rnacentral:lncRNA from 1 species